rnacentral:lncRNA from 1 species
ACAAAGUAUUUAAUUCACAUCACAUCACAUUAUACAAAUAAGUUAAGAGCCAAAUUGUAUUAUAAAUUGGAAUUAAAGACAAAUCAUAGUAUUAUUUAUUCCAUCUGUCAGCCAAAUCUUCUAAAUAGAAAUGACAAUAAAAAAUAUCACAGACUCAAGUUUGACACAAGAAUAAAUAAGACGAAAAGUAAUAUUUAGAUAACUAAAAGACCACUUAUGUUGUCCUGAUGAUUGCAAUGUAUGAUUAAAUAACUAUCUUUCUUUCACAAAAUGAUGGCCUUCAUGCACCAUCAGGUUGGACUGAUUUGCUUGGUGAGUUGCUUGAGCCCUUAAAAGAAAUCCAAUCAGGUUAUCCAUCUCAUGUUGCUUCUUUUGCCAGGCUUAUUAUUCUCUUGUUGGCUCCUCUUUACAUCUCUUUAAAUUCUCUAUCUUGUGCUUCAUGUCUCGCGGCUAAAUCCUCCUGGUGCCUAUAAAUUGAUGAAGCAUAACAACGUGUUGCACCUUAAUGAGAUGAAAACAUAUAGAUAACAAGGUAUAAGAGUACCACUAAGAAACAUACAAUCUAUCGAAUUUUGAAUCUGAGUACAUUAUUAACAAGAUUUGCGGGUAUGUGGAUGGGUCAAUAAAACAUUAAGUUAGUUUAGCGGAACAAGAAGACACAAACUUGUAUAAAAAAUUGCCAUUCAAAAUAUUUUACAUGGAUCACUGCUGCACUUAUAACUAGUGUACCACUUACAGUUUAAGUAGCAUCUGAAUGACUAGUGAGGGCACUAGGGAAGGCAGAUGGUAAUGCACUAUAGUGAUCUGCUGAAGAUAUUUCAUAGUUAGUUGCAUAAGUAUAGUUGUUUGACGCUUUGGUUACUACAGAAGUUUAGAUCAGCACAUCACAAAAAAAAGAUCAGUAAUGUACUACAAAAUCACAGACCAAAACACAAAAAUGUUUCUUUAGUAAGGAGUGACAUCCGUUCAUCCAUUCAAUAUAUUGAACAAUCUCAAACGAUGCAAUAUCCAAAGGUCAUCACCCAACCAUAGUAGGCAACCUUAUUCUUAUUAACUGUGUGUUUUCUCAUCUCUGAAUUGAUUCAAAUAUGCUAUGAAUUUGGUAGAUCAUCACCAUAUGUACAACUAAGUGCCAUAAGCAACUAGUACUAGUACUGUAAACUACACUAUUUGAAUCGGUUGUGUGCUUACACAUCUUCUUCUGCAGCUACAGCUAAUUGUGUACUCGCACUGCUGUUGUAUGAUGCUUCCUCAAUCUAAAUAUAAGAAAUAAAAUAAGUUAUGGGCAAAGGAAGUACACGAUGAGCUUAAUGUUAGGCAUACACAACCAGGUAAGGAAUUAUCCAGUAUUGCAUUGUAUGCAAAUAGAAAGUGGAGAAGCAAGUAGUAAAAAGAACAAGCUUCAGACUGUACCAACAUAGCAAGGCCGAUAACAUUAUAUUGAUAUUGCAAACCCAAUCUGCUACCUACAGUAAGCAGUCGACUAAUGCACCUACGUUUACGGAAUAAAACAGAGAAGACAAAAAAUACACUGACAAGUGUUCACAUGGAGAAAAAAUAUUACAGAAUAACAAAAUCAUGUUCUCUUUCACCGAGCAGUCUUAGCCCAUGAUAGGAGCCCUCAACAUAUUUUUAGCUUGUUAACUUUUAUCACAGAAUAUUAAUUUAUUGUCCCUAACUACUAAUAAAAGGCAAUUCCUAGUACCGUUUCAUUGUUAAAUGUUAAUACUCUGAACGUAGAGUCUAGUCACAUAUUAAAUGUUCUGGAGACUGCAUGAUCUUGCAGCUUAAAGGGGAAACGUGAGUUGAAAUUAUUCACUGUAGAAAUUUAGAGACAGGGAGGAACAUAUACGUAUAAACCAUACCUUUGAGAAGAGCAAAGGGCAUUGAUCUUACUCCUUAUCUAGAUGAAAUGCAACUAGGAAAAGGAGAUCUUAAAUAGGUGGUUAGAAGAAUCAAAUUACAGAUCAAAAAUCUUACAUCCGGAAAUUAUGGAAGAAAUAAGGAAGCAGCAAAAUAUACCCUCGAAUAGUUGGAAGGGGACCAGAUCUAAUGGUAUUGCAGGCAGCGGGGUUCCUUGCAUAGUUUCUCACCCAUCCCCUAGCCUCACUGCAUCAUCGGGUUGCCUCUUCCAAACCUGUUGUCUCCAGCCGCCGCCAUCUUGUUGGUCACUGGACGAAACCAAACUUCUAAAUCAGCAUCUAAUAUCAAGUAGUGGGUGAUGGAGGGGUGGCGAGGCAACGUCCAGAUCUUGGUAAAGCACGAGGUGAGAAAGGAAGCUGGGGAAG